UGGGGAAUUUUGGACAAUGGGCGAAAGCCUGAUCCAGCAAUGCCGCGUGUGUGAAGAAGGCCUUUGGGUUGUAAAGCACUUUUGUCCGGAAAGAAAUCCUUGGCUCUAAUACAGUCGGGGGAUGACGGUACCGGAAGAAUAAGCACCGGCUAACUACGUGCCAGCAGCCGCGGUAAUACGUAGGGUGCAAGCGUUAAUCGGAAUUACUGGGCGUAAAGCGUGCGCAGGCGGUUUGCUAAGACCGAUGUGAAUCCCCGGGCUCAACCUGGGAACUGCAUUGGUGACUGGCAGGCUAGAGUAUGGCAGAGGGGGGUAGAAUUCCACGUGUAGCAGUGAAAUGCGUAGAGAUGUGGAGGAAUACCGAUGGCGAAGGCAGCCCCCCUGGGCCAAUACUGACGCUCAUGCACGAAAGCGUGGGGAGCAAACAGGAUUAGAUACCCUGGUAGUCCACGCCCUAAACGAUGUCAACUAGUUGUUGGGGAUUCAUUUCCUUAGUAACGUAGCUAACGCGUGAAGUUGACCGCCCGGGGAGUACGGUCGCAAGAUUAAACUUAAUG
rnacentral:rRNA from 1 species